GACAAAUCGAAGAAGGACAAAAGUACAUCAUAGCCCAUUCAAAGAGAGAAGUGCUCCCGGCUGAAAAGCACUUCGGAUGAAGAAUGAUGGAAAGCUGUGUCCUGAGUGCAGCAAACACUGCCGUGGGCCGCGUUAAGGCAUUUGAGAGGCCGGUGUCUUUGUUGAACCGGCAAUCAGGGUGGUACCGCGAACAAGCUUCGUCCCUGUU
rnacentral:ncRNA from 1 species